rnacentral:rRNA from 1 species
CAAUAGCGUAUAUUAAAGUUGUUGCGGUUAAAAAGCUCGUAGUUGGAUUUCUGCCGAGGACGACCGGUCCGCCCUCUGGGUGUGUAUCUGGUUUGGCCUGGGCAUCUUCUUGGAGAACGUAGCUGCACUUGACUGUGUGGUGCGGUGUCCAGGACUUUUACUUUGAGGAAAUUAGAGUGUUUCAAGCAGGCACACGCCUUGAAUACAUUAGCAUGGAAUAAUAAGAUAGGGCCUCGGUUCUAUUUUGUUGGUUUCUAGAGCUGAGGUAAUGAUUAAUAGGGAUAGUUGGGGGCAUUCGUAUUUAACUGCCAGAGGUGAAAUUCUUGGAUUUGUUAAAGACGGACUACUGCGAAAGCAUUUGCCAAGGAUGUUUUCAUUGA